UAGGCGAUCUUCCUCACGCUGUUCGGCUCCCUGAUGCUGAACCGGAUGCCGUGGCUUACCAAAGAGAAGGAACAACAAACAAGGAGGAUCUUGGCACUCUUGGGGACCUUGUCUGGUUAGCUGGCUGCCCCUUCUCAGCUGCCCAAGGCGAUCCAGGGCAUCACCAGCACUCCAAAAUGUCCACCAGUACCUGGUUCAAGAGAUAAGAACAACCCCGUGUAUGUAGCUCCAACUAUCAACAGUCCAAUUAAGCGCCCAGAAAGAACCUUGAAAGAGAAGAAGCUUUUCAAGCUGACAGGAGAUAUUUUGGUCUACUCAGCACAGAACUCGAAUAGGUUUUACCUCCAUCAGGCUAUCCAGAAGAGUUUCUCCCACUGUUUCUCAGAGAUCAGACUUCUGAAGCAUUUCUACCCAUGGGCCAAUCGCACCUUCCUAACCUUUAUGGGGUUACAGAGAUACGGACACAGUUCUGGGCCCCAGCUUCU